rnacentral:tRNA from 1 species
CCUCUCGUAGCUCAGUUGGUAGAGCGGUGGACUGUAGAUCCAUAGGUCGCUGGUUCAAAUCCGGCCCAGAGGA